AUACUUACCUGGCAGGGGAGAUACCAUGAUCACGAGGUGGUUUUCCCAGGGUGAGGCUUAUCCAUUGCACUCCGGAUGUGCUGACCCCUGCGAUUUCCCCAAAUGUGGGAAACUUGACUGCAUAAUUUGUGGUGUGGGGGACUGUAUUUGCGCUCUCCCCUA
rnacentral:snRNA from 1 species